GCGGGCGAGGUUGCUUCGGUAACUGAGCUAGCGGCGGACGGGUGAGUAAUGCUUAGGAAUCUGCCUAUUAGUGGGGGACAACAUUCCGAAAGGAAUGCUAAUACCGCAUACGCCCUACGGGGGAAAGCAGGGGAUCUUCGGACCUUGCGCUAAUAGAUGAGCCUAAGUCAGAUUAGCUAGUUGGUGGGGUAAAGGCCUACCAAGGCGACGAUCUGUAGCGGGUCUGAGAGGAUGAUCCGCCACACUGGGACUGAGACACGGCCCAGACUCCUACGGGAGGCAGCUGUGGGGAAUAUUGGACAAUGGGCGCAAGCCUGAUCCAGCCAUGCCGCGUGUGUGAAGAAGGCCUUUUGGUUGUAAAGCACUUUAAGCGAGGAGGAGGCUACUUGGAUUAAUACUCUAGGAUAGUGGACGUUACUCGCAGAAUAAGCACCGGCUAACUCUGUGCCAGCAGCCGCGGUAAUACAGAGGGUGCGGGCGUUAAUCGGAUUUACUGGGCGUAAAGCGUGCGUAGGCGGCUUCUUAAGUCGGAUGUGAAAUCCCUGAGCUUAACUUAGGAAUUGCAUUCGAUACUGGGAAGCUAGAGUAUGGGAGAGGAUGGUAGAAUUCCAGGUGUAGCGGUGAAAUGCGUAGAGAUCUGGAGGAAUACCGAUGGCGAAGGCAGCCAUCUGGCCUAAUACUGACGCUGAGGUACGAAAGCAUGGGGAGCAAACAGGAUUAGAU
rnacentral:rRNA from 1 species